UUUAAAACGUCGUGAGACAGUUUGGUCCCUAUCUUCCGUGGGCGCUGCAGAUUUGAGGAAGCCUGCUCCUAGUACGAGAGGACCGGAGUGGACACACCUCUGGUGUAUCGGUUGUCACGCCAGUGGCAUUGCCGAGUAGCUAAGUGUGGAAGAGAUAACCGCUGAAAGCAUCUAAGCGGGAAACUCGUUUCAAGAUGAGAUCUGCCGGGGCCUUGAGCCCCCUGAAGAGUCGUUCAAGACCAGGACGUUGAUAGGUCAGGUGUGGAAGCGCAGUAAUGCGUUAAGCUAACUGAUACUAAUUGCUCGUGCGGCUUGACCCUAUAACUUUG
rnacentral:rRNA from 1 species